rnacentral:rRNA from 1 species
ACGGGUGAGUAACGCGUGGGUAACCUGCCUUAUACAGGGGGAUAACAGUCAGAAAUGGCUGCUAAUACCGCAUAAGCGCACAGUGCUGCAUGGCACAGUGUGAAAAACUCCGGUGGUAUGAGAUGGACCCGCGUCUGAUUAGCUAGUUGGUGGGGUAACGGCCUACCAAGGCGACGAUCAGUAGCCGGCCUGAGAGGGUGAACGGCCACAUUGGGACUGAGACACGGCCCAAACUCCUACGGGAGGCAGCAUG